UUGUGUCUAUCAAUAUUAGAGUCAUAGCAAUGAGGGAAUGAUUUCUUAUGUCACUCAUUUGCUCCAAUACCCCCUGUGAUAGCAUGAUGAGAUAAGAAUACAUUGUCAACUGGAACUCAACAUUUUCUGUCCCUUUUUUUGUUCAAGUUUUUUAUUUUAUAGCAGGCAAUUUUAAUUUGGCAGGCUCUGUACAAAUCCAAUCACCAUUUGGAACUCCAGGAGGAUUGCUCUGCCUUGAUGAGUAACAAGAUGCACUGGAAUGUGUUUGGGAUUGCUCUUUCAGCCCUGGCAGAUCAUAGAGACCUCUAGGCUGUCCUGUAUGAACUACUGUACACCUUGUUGCAUCAGCCACAGGAUCAGCCACAUUACGCUCCUGCAGGGACAGCCAGGAGUUGUAUGUUUAACUCUGGAAAAUAACUGAUGACCCGAGAGAGUUACACACCACCAUUUGUUUGCAGUGACCACUGUGAUGCCAGAAGCCUCCUGCCUUCAGAAGUUAUGAAAUAGACUGAUCCUGCACCACAGUAGUUAUGUGCAACAAAGCCUGAUUUCUAUGGACUUUCAAGGAAGUAAUUGAGCAAAUAAUUCAGCUCUGAGAAAGUGAGAGCAAUGACAAAUCUUACUGGGUUAGAAGCAAUUGUAGGUGACAAGCUGUUUUAUAAUGAAGCCACUUGUAUUCAGAGUUUUUCAUCCUGGUUGACGAGUGUAAUUUUAGCCACACAGGCUUAAAGAUUUUAAUGUAAAUUCAGGAGGAGCUUAACCACUGGAUUUCUCUUGUGGAAAUGGAUUUCCAGGUUGGGAACAACUCUAGCUCUUAGGCAGUUUUCCCAUUUACUAAGUAUAGCCAUUCAUUUUCAUUUGCAUAAAGAACAUGGAUAUGUAAGUCUCCAAUUACUUUAAAAGCAAUAUUUCAACAGAUACAGUGAAGUAAUUAGUUUAAUGAGGAAAUGUCAUUACGUAGUGGAAAGCUUGGUUUGCCAAGGAUCAAUUUGUAUUUGAAUCCAACUAGAAAUGAAAUGCACAGAACAAAAAGUAAAUUAUUUUAGUAAAAGCCACCUUGUCCGUUUGGAACAAAUGGAAAGUAUGUAUGUCUGCUUCUCAACCAGAGGGGCUGAGUAAGGGGCUUUUUGGUAUUAGAAGACUUACAAAUGAUUGUUUAAAAUAUGAAGAGAGUAGGACAGUUUAUUGUGCAAACAUGGGGAGUCAACAAGCUCCUUCUAUGGAAAGUAGAAUAAUUAUUUCCAGAACACUUUUUUCCUAUAUAUAAAAUGAGGAUAUUUAUUACUUAUGGCAUCUUUUCAGAACUGUGAAGCCUAAUUCAGAAACACUUGUUGGUAUCUCUGAAAUUCUCAUACAGGGCAGGAAAUAUCAUAACUUUUAUAACUGGAUUUCAUUUGCUUAUUGUUAACUGCUGUUGAUAUGCUGUCAUGUAAAUUCAUCAUCUCUCCCAUACAAAUAAAGCACAAGAUAUUGCUCAAAUAAUUUUCCUGUCUGUACUGGAGG